rnacentral:lncRNA from 1 species
CAGUUUCUACUGCCAUCUUCUGAACGCCUCUUGCUAGUUCAUCAGAUAUUGCCCUUGGAACCCCUGCAUGCUUAUGGCCUGUCUCCUCUUGUUCUGCAGGAACUAGCACGUCUCCCUUGUGCUUCCAUUGGCUUCCUUUACACACACACACACUUAAAACCCUUCUCUGAGACAAUGUUCAGAAAAAAAAAUUUAUCACUCAAAUCCUGGGCUGGAAUUGGCUCCUUCAAACCCCAUGCCGUACUCAAGUUUGCAUGCAUAGCUAGCUGAUUGCAUCUCUGAUCCGAACAGUACCGAUCAGGCGGUAACCACUUCUUCUUUAUCUCCUCCUCCAUAUCCCCCAUAUCAGUCUCAAUGAUAUCAUCAUCUUUCUCCUGUAUCUUCUUCAUGAGCAGUGCUGAAAGAAUUCCACUGGAGGCCUUGAGGCAAUACAACAAACACCUUGUGUGCAGGGUGGAGCAAGGAUCAAUUCGUAACAUUGUUAGUGGCUGACUUUGCAAGUAGAUCUUCUCUCCUUUUCUGAGUCCUUCAUCUCCCUCUAUAACCUGCGUCUUGACACAUCAAAUUACUGCCUGUAAUCACCUGUAAUUUUGCUUUCUUGAAAGCAUGGGGCGUGGGUUCCUUCCUCUCUUCAUGACUUGCUUUAGCGGCACCAGGUUGAGAUCGUGGUGCGCUCCCAGGACCCGGAUCGGGCGGAUUCUUGUAGACAUCUUCCAGAAUGCUGGCUACUUUCAACUUUAGGCCAUCUACCCUCUGUCUUAGGAUCCGGAAUCGAACUACAAGAUCACUUGAUAUUUCAGUAGCUCUAUUGGCUCUAUUUCGGGUUCCUGCAUGGUCUUGAGAUUUUGCUUGGAUGGGUUUGACGCUUUCUCUUUGGUGGUUCGAUUUCUGUUGGUUUCGGGUUUCAUGGAAUUGGCUAUGGCGAUCUACAAGAUGGGGUUUCAGAUCGCCUGGGCGACGAACAGACGUGGACGCGG